GAAAUAUAAGAACCCGUCUUUUAACUUUUAACUAAAAAAGUUAAGAACUGGUUUUUAAAUAAGAGUUUUAAGAACCGGUUCUUAAUUUUUUAGUUAAAAGUUAAGAGACGGAUUCUUAUAUUCC
rnacentral:pre_miRNA from 1 species